rnacentral:rRNA from 1 species
UGCGUAGGCGGAUUAAUAAGUCAGUGGUGAAAUCUUUCGGCUCAACCGAGAAACCGCCAUUGAUACUGUUAAUCUUGAGUUCGGUUGAGGUAGGCGGAAUGUGUAAUGUAGCGGUGAAAUGCUUAGAUAUUACACAGAACACCAAUUGCGUAGGCAGCUUACUAGACCGACACUGACGCUGAGGCACGAAAGCGUGGGGAGCGAACAGGAUUAGAUACCCUGGUAGUCC